rnacentral:rRNA from 1 species
UUGGAGGGCAAGUCUGGUGCCAGCAGCCGCGGUAAUUCCAGCUCCAAUAGCGUAUAUUAGAGUUGUUGCAGUUAAAAAGCUCGUAGUUGAACUUCGGGGUCUACCCAUUGGUCAGGCUUAAUUGUCUGCACUGGUGAGAUGGAUCUCUACCUUCUGAGGAACUUUCAUGCCAUUUAUUUGGUGUGAUGGGAAAUCAGGACUGUUACUUUGAAAAAAUUAGAGUGUUUAAAGCAGACUAUCGUCUGAAUACAUUAGCAUGGAAUAAUGAAAUAGGACGGACUGAUUCUAUUUCGUUGGUUUCUAGGAUCACCGUAAUGAUUAAUAGGGAUAGUUGGGGGCAUUAGUAUUCAAUUGUCAGAGGUGAAAUUCUUGGAUUUAUUGAAGACUAACUACUGCGAAAGCAUUUGCCAAGGAUGUUUUCAUUAAUCAAGAACGAAAGUUAGGGGAUCGAAGACGAUCAGAUACCGUCGUAGUCUUAACCAUAAACUAUGCCGACUAGGGAUCGGACGAAGUUAAUUUUAUAAUGACGCGUUCGGCGCCUUACGGGAAAC